rnacentral:lncRNA from 1 species
AUUCGUGUUACAGUAGCCGGGAUAAAGGGUCACGAUCCCACGAGUUUGAACUAAUUCCAAAAUCCCAUCCUCAAUUCAAAUUGCAGGCUGCAACUCGCCUGCAUGAAGUCGAAAUUGUUAGUAAUCACCGAUCAACCAUACGGUGGUGAAUUCGUUCCUCAACUUUAUACACUCCAUCCGUCACACUACAGGAGCUAGCCCUGUCCAAAGUCUUUACUUUAAUCGCAAGGAGGGGGAUGUCGAAAGCAAGGCUACUAACUGAAGUGAAGUCUACUAGUGUCAU